AUUAACACAUCACAGUCUUCAUUAUUCAUUAAUUGAAAAAUUUCACGUUAUUCACUGCUGAAGAAUGAGUAAUUAGCUCCAGUAAUUAGCAGAUUAUUUGAUUGAUAUUCUUUCACAAGGGAGUUCCAAGGGAUUCAGUACUCAGCACAUUCAUGGACUAAAGUCUGACUCAAACUGGUAUGAUUGCAUUUACUCCGCGCGGGAGAGAUCUUGCACACGACACGACACGACGCUGAGUUUGAUCUCUAUUAAUACGACCUGGUGCAGAACAAGAAUAACACAAUACACAUGGCAGAAGUCCUCUCUUCCUCAAUCUCCUGGAGUUCAUUAAAUUAUACCCUUCAACUGCACAAUCUACUUGCACAGGUGCCUCCAAAGAAUAUAUGGGUAGUGAAUGGAAGUCCAAAAGGAUUGGAUUGACAAAAAGAAGAUGAUGCUUAUAAAUAUAUGGGAGAACUGAAGGCUCUGGCAUAUGAGCAUGCCACUGGCAUUCAGAUAUACAUGGCAUAUGUCCACACAUGCCUGAAAGAUGUGUGGAGUUUUAAAAUAACAACCCUUUUCAUUGGGUCGAGUGAGCACGCCUGGAAAUAGUUAAUAACUCGAGUACGAAGUCACUGAUAUGGAGAGAUGGAAAAAUUAUGAACACAGGGAAUCAAUCAAGCGUUCUCUACACUAGAAGUUCAAUCGGCGCUGCAUCUUUUUUUUUUAUCAGCUUCAUUGGUAUUUAUUAAUCACUUUUUUUCUGGUGUUAUCGUGGAAUAUUGUACUUGUACCGUAUCUCAACAAGUAUUCAACGCAUUGACUUCUGAGAAAUAGUGCGAGAAAAGUGAGUUGGAUCGUGUCCAAGAUCGAAGACCCUCUUGGCUGCUGGGGUCACUUUGGAAAAUUCAGAGCUAGAUUAUAAAGAUUUCUUUUUUUCUGCAUUCCACGUAAAAAUAAACUCAACUAGCUGUACAAUCGAAUGACAUGGGGUUGAUUCCAUGAAAUAUUGAAGCCAU